rnacentral:rRNA from 1 species
GACGAACGCUGGCGGCGUGCUUAACACAUGCAAGUCGAACGGAAAGGCCCUGCUUUUGUGGGGUGCUCGAGUGGCGAACGGGUGAGUAACACGUGAGUAACCUGCCCUUGACUUUGGGAUAACUUCAGGAAACUGGGGCUAAUACCGGAUAGGAGCUCCUGCUGCAUGGUGGGGGUUGGAAAGUUUCGGCGGUUGGGGCUGGACUCGCGGCUUAUCAGCUUGUUGGUGGGGUAGUGGUUUACCACGGCUUUGACGGGUAGCCGGCCUGAGAGGGUGAACGGGCACCUUGCGACUGCGAUAGGGACCAGUCGGCUACGUGACGCAGUAGUGGGGAAUCUUGCGCAAUGGGGGGAAGUGUGAGGCAGCAACGCCGCGUGCGGGAUGACGUCUUUCGGGUUGAAAACCGCUGUCGACUUUGCUGUAGCGUGAUUGACGGUAACUGGUCAAGAAGCAACGGCUAACUACGUG